GCUUUACACUUAACAAUUAUUAAUUUAAUUUAGUUUUAUAUUUUUAAUUUAUUUUUUGGAGUGUUCUGUUGGGGUGACAAAAAAUAUAUACUUAACUUUUAUUAUUAUAUUUUCAUUAAUUUAUGAUUAUUGGAUCCAAAAUUUUUGAUCAAUAGAAUAAGU
rnacentral:rRNA from 1 species